AUAUUUCCAACUAAGUUUAUUCUGAAUGAAACAAACGAAGCGGAUAGUAUGCUACUUAUCUCUCAAAAAAAAAAUAAAAAUGUUAUUAUGUAUGUGUGGUUCUUUGUCGCGCUGAAGGCAAAGCAGUUGUAAACCCCUGUUUUCUCAAAAAAAAAAAAAAGUUUUUUGAAAAAUGACGAACAGGAAACUUUUUUCUUAUUAUAAUAACUAAUUAGCUUACAAUAUACAUUAAUAUAUCCGAAACUAUAACAUACACCGAUCAAUGAUAGAUGAUAAUAUAUUUUAUAAAUAAAAAAAUUACCAAGAAAUUAAAAAAAAUUAAAUUAAUUGAUGACUAAUAACUAACAUAGUUAUUAUUUUUCAUAAAAUUUUUAACUAAAUAAAUCAAAUGAAAAGGUUUAGAUAAAAUGAUUAAAAGCUGAAGGGUCUAAGGCUUCGUUUGGAAUUGCGAGGAGAUUGCGUUACGCGCGGUGAGAAAGUAUGUUGGAAAAAUAUCCUGUUUGUUUCCGUACGUAAUAUUGCGUUCCGCAUAUCGUGAUGAGUCGGUUACUAUAUAUUUUCUGCGGUCCCACCGGAGAACGCAAAAGCAUAUCCCUAUAUACUUUUUCUUCAAUUCUAUUUUAUUUAAUAGCGUUAGAUAGAUCUCAAUACCAAACUGAGCUUAAAACAAAUAAUGAACGGAUUUCAAAGCUUCUAAUAGUUGAGGGGGGUAUCCGUGCCUUAAUUUGAGCCCCUUGUAAACCCCGGAUCCGCGCUACCCUGGAUCGUUCCUGCUCGCAUCUCUAUGUAAGAUUGAGAUAAAUGUUGACAGAGCUACGAACAAAGCAUCAGUCCUUUUCAAAAAGGAAAAAGUCAACACAUCUACAAUCAUUGGUUCUAUUUAAUUCAUCAAUAAUAGAUUAAGACGUAUCCGCACAUGACUAGAAAUAGGUUGGUUUCUUCGGCAGCUUAUGCAGCUGAGUGAAAGAAGAAGAAGAAGGAAAGAGACCACUAAUGGCUGCAGGCUUUGUAUCUUCCAUCAUCAAGUGGACGGUCGAAAAAUUUUCUUCUUUGACCCCUCCACAGAGUACUGCCGGCUGUUCAACAUCCGAACCUCAUGCUCGCGCCAUCGAAGACUUCGAGGUGCUGCAGAAGACAAUGCAGUCGAUCCAAGAUGCGGUCGACAACACAGACGAGAAGGACGUGCGGAGUUUCUCUGAAAAGCUCCGUCUGAAGGAGCUGAGCGGAGCCGCUCGCGACGCGGAAGACGUGUUCGAGGAGUAUGAGUACGAAGUGCUGCGGGCAAAAGCCGAAGCUCGGAGUCGGAGACAAGUAGGCAUCGGCCAGAAGCGCAAGCUCGAGGAGGUAUGUGAAACCAGCACUGAUGAUAUUCCUGCACUAGUUCCCGUUCCGAAUGAUUUAAUAAUUAGAAUGAAAGAAAUCAAGAAGAGGUUUGACACGAUCACGAAGGAAUGGGACGCUCUCUGUCUGAGAGAGAGCGACGGGCCGCGGCGGCGUAAUGAUCAUGCGUGGACGCCGAAGCCAACUAGCUCACUUGUGCAUGAGCCUAGUGUUCACGGCAGGGAGGAUGAUAAGGAGAAUAUAAUACAAAUGCUUCUCGAAGACGAUGAGAACAGCAGGAACUCGGUUUCGGUCUUGCCUAUAGUUGGAAUGGGGGGGAUCGGUAAGACUACUCUCGCACAGCUUGUGUAUAAUGAUCCUAGAGUGUGUCAUCGCUUCCGACAAAAGGGAUGGGUCUGCGUAUCUGAAAAUUUUGAUGUGCUGGAGUUAACAAGAAAGAUCUUCACCUCGAUCACUAAAAGAAGUUGCAGCUACGCCGAACUAAAUGAGAUUACGGAUGCUUUUAGGGAAGAAUUGAUGGGUAAGAGGUUCUUACUUGUGCUCGAUGAUGUCUGGAAUGACAACCCCGAUCUCUGGACUCCCCUGAGAGACCUGCUCUUUGCUCUAGAACCCGGGAAAGUUAUAGUAACUACCCGGAACGAGUCGACAGCUACGAUCAUGCAGACAAUGCCACUUUAUAGGUUAGACCGCUUGGGCUUUGAUGAUUGUUGGUUCAUCUUUGUACAACAAGCCUUUGAAGGUCGAGAUCCAAAUGCACUUCCGGAAUUGGUAGAAAUCGGUAAAAAGAUUGUCGUGAAGUGUAAGGGAUUGCCUUUGGCUGUCAAGGUACUUGGCGGCCUCCUUCGCUUCGAAAGUGAUGAGUGGAAAUGGAUUGAUAUUUUGGACAGCGAGUUAUGGGAAUUGGAUGAAGAGGAGGAUCAGAUCCUACCAGCGCUGAGAUUGAGCUACGAUCGCAUGCCACCAGCUUUGAAGCAGUGCUUUAUGUACUUCUCAUUGUUUCCGAAAGACUAUCAAUUCUAUAAAGAUGAUAUAAUCAGGCUGUUGAUGUCGCAAGGACUUUUCAGAUUCAAAGGAAAAGAGCUAGAAGAGGACAUUGGCAGAGGAUUUCUUGAUGACUUGUUACAAAGGUCGAUUCUCGAGUAUGAUCCUAACAAUGAGAAUAAAGAAAUACUGAAAAUGCAUGAUCUCGUGCAUGAUCUUGCACAAUCUGUAGGAGGGGAAGAAUUCGUUAGAGUAGACGAUGGCGAGCUAUGCAACCUCCCCGGAGAAGUUAGACAUUUAUCAUUGGUUUGGAGCAACUCCAUCUCUAACUUGAAUCUUCUGCCAUUAAAAAAAUUAAAAGCUUUUUUUUUUUUGAUUAAACAGGGGUUAACCCUAUUUUACAAAAAUUAAAAGCUCUACGGACGUUCGUAUUUAUCAUAAGGGAUGGUAUUCUCAUACACCCAGAAGUUCGUGUUGAUGUACUGAAUGAUCUCUUUCGAAACUUGAAAAGACUACGGGCUUUAGAUUUGAGAUGGACAAGAAUUGGAGCAUUGCCCGAGUCAAUCGGGAACUUGAAACUUCUGCGCUACCUUGACAUUGGACAUACUGAGGUUAAGAGGCUUCCAGAAUCGAUAUUUGGUCUCUACAAUCUACAGGCAUUAGGGAUUAAAUAUGAUGCCUUGGCGGAGUCAUCAGAAGCUAUAAAGGAGUUGGUCAACUUGCGACAUCUUCUAUUUGAUGGUAAUGAAUAUGCAAACUACCUCCCAUCAGGUAUAAGACAUCUGACAAACUUGCAGACAUUGAUGACUAUUCCUAUAGGAAGAGAUCCUAGGCACUUUAGGAUACAAAAUCUAAAGAACUUGUCCCACUUGAAAGAAGUGCGGAUUUUAAAUCUCAAAGAUAUUGAUAGUGUUGAGGAUGCUCAAGAGGCUAAUUUGAAGAGCAAGAAAGAUCUCACAAUCUUGAGAUUGUCAUGGAAAUGCAGUUACAUCCUCUACUGUAAUACAAGCCGUGGGCAAAGUUCUGGAGACCCUUCGAAGAUCCCUUCAAAAGCCACUAGAUCAUUGGUACCUGUUGAGUGGUUUGAGGAACGGAUACUUGCCAGCCUUGAGCCACAUACCAACAUCGGAGAAUUGAUGAUAUAUUAUUACGGAGGUAUUCGAUUCCCCCUGUGGUUUGGCGAUGUUUCCUUCUCCAAGUUGGUCAAAAUGACACUAAUGAAUUGCCAGAAAUGUAUAUUGCUCCCGUCGCUGGGUCAACUGCCUUCUCUGAGGUACUUAGAUAUGUCUUAUAUUGAAAGCCUGCAACAUAUUGGAUGGGAGUUUUAUGGUUGUAGUUCUGAAGUAAAGGGGUUCCGGUCACUGGAGACCUUGCUAAUCUCAUGGAUGGACAAUUGGGUGGACUGGGGUGGUGGUGAAUGUGGCGACUUUCCUCGGCUCCAGCAACUUAAUAUUGCAGAAUGCCCUAGGAUACAGAGGCUUCCGCAACAUCUUUAUUCCUCAUUGACCCGAUUAGUUUUGUGCAAUUGCGAAAAACUUGAUGAACUUCCUUUGCUCCCUUCACUGACUCAUUUAACUCUGCGAGGUAAGUUUGAUGAAAAGAUAUUCUCUUCUUUGCAUCUCCAUUUGCUUCGUUUUUUAGAAAUUACGGGCCUCAAGACUCUUCCUGUUGAAUUUCGAAAAAUGUACUCCCUCCAAAAAUUAUGUAUUUCUCAAUGUUACGAAUUGGAAACGGUGGUGAGUUUUUUCGAACUUCCUUCUCUUGAGGAAUUGUCAGUAUGGAGUUCUCCUCAAGUACUGUUUCGACUUCAUCUGUCUGAAGAUGUCAUAACCGGAAAUUGCCCUUUGCUUCAAGAGUGGUGCAGAAGACAUGACAUCGACCUGACAUAUUCAGGUAUGAUCCUCUACAAGAAUUCUAUACAGUUCUUGCGCCCAUUUACUAGUUCAUAUGUUUCCCUCCUCAUAUUCAUUUUUGUGUUUUGGAAACAGGUUAACUUGGCAAGAAAGAAUCUUCCAAUGGUAAAGCAACAGCAUAGUCGCACUUCACUGAAUAUUGAGUAGAUUAAACAAUGCCUUGCAAUAUGUAUUGUCGGUAAGAGGAUUAAUCUGAGUUUUACGGCUGAUUUCAGUCACUUCACACUUCUGGUUUUGAUCAAAUCAGAAUGUGUAGAAGAGGAUAAACUGAAGGGGCUGAUUUUGCAAUUUGAGUGAUUGUUGUAUUGAGUGAUCAUCCUUUCUUUUUAUGUUUUUUCCUAUAUUUUCUAACUUUGUAAUCUUUUCUUCAUGGCUGCUGAACUGAACAUGAAUUGAGUUUGGUAUAAGAUAAAAUUAUAUUUUUACCGCUGAGUCUUGUUAUUGUCCUAUGCAAUGUCACUCAGGUAUUCGCAGAGUAAGUUUACGACACUGAGUGAUUCUGAAACUAUAUUUUACAGGAAUUUUGAUCUUCACUGUGCUCUGUACAACAAUGAUUAGUAAUCAGGUUUAGAGAAGUAGCAGUAUCCAUCUUAAGAUUACUUUUGCAUUUCCUCCUCACCAACUUGAGCCAUUUGCUAUUCCUAUUAUAAUGUGCAUUUUCCAAGUUUAGAAAUUUCAGAGGCAAAAGGGUAUAUAAAAUUUGCUUUUGUGAUAAUAGGCUCUGUUAGAAAAUCAGUCUUCAGCAUUACCAGUGAUCAUGCUAAGUCUCCAUCCAGAGUCCACCAUUUUACUCUUCUAAAUGACACCUGAAUUAGUUGUAAAACUAGUUAUUUGCGCAGCUCAAAUCACAUCAAUAAGCCCGCAAUGCAUAUUUGGCCACAUUUAUGCAACUUAUUUUUGGUUUUUUUUUGGGUAGUCAUCUCUAGAAAAACAUCAGACAUAUUACGAAGUCGGAAUUGUUGCUAUGCUGGAAAACUGACAUGAGAUUAUAAGUUUUCAUAGCCCUGAACUCUGAUUUAUACUUUGUAAGUAUGUUAAAAAAAGAAAAUUAUCAGUGGUUUUUCUGUUAUGUUGGCUGUGCCUGGUUGGCUUGUUUACAACAUUUUGCAUAUUACUUCUUUUGUGUGUGUUUUUGGUUCAAUGCGUUAUACUGGGUGCCUGAAAGAUGGAUUUGAACAAAGAAUUGAACCUGCUUGAUUCCUACUAUGUUUAUGUGGUGUAUCUGCAUGGAAGUUGUAGCUGCAUAACAGUGGUUUGCAACUCGGAAUUUCCUAUAUGUUUAUAAGAAGCCAACUUGAUAUCAAAUGUUUAUGGUGCCUUUUAUUGGUUGUUUUGCGGGUAGCCACCUCUCUUGCAAGUAAGAGAUUGGCGGGUAGAAUUCGUUUGCAUGUGUAGAUGUGGGCCUAUGGACAGUAUUCUUAAAAUAGCAAUGCUAAUGGUACACCCAAACAUGGGUGUAGAUCUUACGUCUUAUCCAUCUGAUGAAUGAGAAUUUAUGUAUCACGAAUAUUUCUACAAGUUUCGCGUGUCCAUCUAAUGAAUGAGAAUUUAUGUAUCACGAAUAUUUCUACAAGUUUCACGUGCCUGUUGUGUCUGUGUCAAACUCGUGUUCAAUAUGAACACGCCAUGAACGCGCGUUCAACUCGUGUCCAUGUUGCAUCCUAUAUAUAUAUAUAUAUAUAUAGCAGGACUGCUGUGCUCUCAGGAGCACGGAGGCCUUCGUGCUCCUGAGCCGUUUUCGAUGAUGGAAUUUUCGAAUCGACGAUCGGCUCCGUUAGACUUGAUCUAGCGCAUUUGAAGUUUCUAGAAAAUAUUUUUUGCGAUUUUUUGAUAUCAUUUACCUAGUGAUCGAAAGGAUUCAAAAUCAAUAAUUUUUAAUGGUUGAUAUCUGCCGUUUUCAAGUUUAACGGUGUAGAAGUAUUCAAAUCAGAUGAAAUUUUGAUACAAAAUUCUUUAUACUAUCUACAACAAGAUCAAUAUUUCUGAUCGAAAAUUUUAGUGCUAUAUCACCACUUUUUAUAGGAUUUUUAUUUUCAGCCGUUAAAAAUUAUUGAUUUUGAAUCCUUUCGAUUGCUAGGUAAAUGAUAUCGAAAAAUCGCAAAAAUUAUUUUCUAGAAACUUUAAAUACGCUAGAUCAAGUUUAACGGAGCCGAUCGUCGAUUCGAAAACUCCAUCAUCGAAAACGGCUCAGGAGCACGGAGAGCACAGCAGCCCUGCUCUAUAUAUAUAUAUAUAUAUAUAUAUAUAUAUGGGUGAGCUAGAAUACUUCUAGAAGUAUUUAGAUUUUUUUUUUUUAUAUUUAACUUUUUCGCUUUUGGAUCAACUCUUUUAAUCCCUACUAGCUCUUGGAUUAAUACUAUUAAACUAGGGGGAUCUCUAUCAUCGCAAUCUAAUGAGGUGAAGAGUUAACCCAAAUAAUUAUCACUAGUGAAAGUCUCUAAUUAAUGCAUGCACAUGAUAUUAUUUUGCUCUACUUAAUUUCUAUCAGGCUAAUAAUCAUUACUAAUUAAGCUGGGAAUUUUUUGACUCUUAAAUUGACAGAUUAAAUGAUUUUUGUCAAUUUGGAUCUUUAGAUUCCAAGUGUAUAGUAUUUGGAUUUUAAAGAUAAAUGAAAUUUGAUUUAUCAUAUUCAGCUGGUUAUCUACAAAAAGCACAUAAAGAAUCUCAAAGAUUACAGCAAUUCGAUUUUUUUGAAAAAAAAUGAAAAUUUUUUGAAAUUACAUUCGACUCUAGUUUGUAAUUUUUUUCAAGAUUAUGGUCCGAAGAGCUGAAACCGAAACUAUUGGGCCAAUAUUAUUUUUGAGAAACUAUUGGGCCAAUAUUAGGCAGGAGUUUAUGUGUAGAUGAAGGCUCUUGUCGCAAGCAUGUUAGGCCCACCCAGACCCAUCAGUGAAUUUCUGAAACAAUCUUUCUUAAUUUUAUUGGGCCCAAUAAGCCCAUACGUAAGAUCAUUGUCAAAGUGGAUCAGAACUGGUCCACCAUUUUUUAUUUUUUUUUGGGGGUGUAAGAAACAAUGAAUAUGUGCACUAAAACUUAGGAAUUUAAAGUAGUCCAGAAGGAAUAUAAAGUAGUCCAGAGUAGCAGAACAAAAAGUUGGUUUGAGUAAGGAUAUAAAUCAAUUGCUAAAUGAUCUUAAAAAUUUCAAAUUUCUUUUGGAACAUUUUCAGUUUUUGAUUUUGUACAAAUGAAAGUGAGGAUAAGGAACAAACAAAGGAGAAAAUGCAAAUCGCUUUCCAACUUGCUGAGUCCACUUAAUAUUUGGUCAGAGUCAAUUGAUAAAUUGGUGGGCUGUGUUCCUUAAACAUCUGAUAACCGUGAAAAAAUGGCAAGUUUUCACACUUUAGGCCUAUUUUUAGGUUGGAUUUGGUCAUUUCAACCUAAACUAUAAAAAUCUCACCAUAGACCUUAGCCUAUGUGAUAGAUGCUGUAUUCAUCCUUUGAAUUAUGCAAGUUGCUGUGUUCAAAUAAGAACAUGACUCAUAUCCGUCCAAUUUAAUCUGUGUGUAAAUUGGUAAAUUAACUAUGAUGGCAAAAUUGUCUGAGGAGGAAAACUAACUAAUCACUACCAAUACGUGCAACCCAAAAUGGGACAUUGAUAUUUUUUUUGUUGAAAAAAAAUUACAAAUGUUCUCAAAUGAGUAAAAAAAAGUAACCAUGUAGGUAUUAUAGAGGCUAUUACUGUGGUCAAAACUCAAAAGUCAUGAACACAAUAUAAUUGAGUAUCAUCAAUUAUCAAAACCAUCCAUACGUAAGUCAAAUUUCACGAAGAUAGCAUGCGGUACCUCUUCACAACAUUUAUAUGAAAUUCUUACAACCAACCAUCCAUUCACCUACAGAUAACAUUAUAUAAAUCAAUCGAAAACACUAAUUUUUCAUAUUAAAUAUUAUAACUAGUUAUUGACUGUCCCUAACAUAAAUAGAAAAAGACUCGGUGGUUGGUACUGGAAAUCUCAAAUUUAAAGUUUAUAUGCUACCUUGGAGUUGUUUAGAAUUUAGAAUAUAGGAUUAGCAUGCUACCUUUCUUUUUCUUUUUCGGAAAAAAAAAAAACUAUUACAACUAGUUUCUUUUUGCAUAAAAUAUUAUUACAAAACAAUAAAAACAUUUGGCGUAAUAAUUGCAAAAAAAAAGUCUAAAUCUAAAAAAAAGUUUAGUAUCAUCAUUUCUGUAUAUUAAUUAGGCUACGAAAUUGAUAUAUGUUUAUGAAAAUAUAAUAAUGCAAAGAAAAUGAAAUUAGCAUAAAAAAUAAGAAAAUACUAUUGAAAUUUAGAAUUUAGGAUAGUGUGGUUUGGAAUUUAGAAUUUAGGAUAACAUAUGCUUAUAUAGUCUGAAAAAUUAAUAGUUUUACCCAUGAAUAAGAUAUAACAUUUGGUACAAUAAUUGCAAAAAAAAAAAAAAUCUAAGUCUAAAAAAAAGUACUAUGGUCAUUUAUGGAUAUCAAUCAGCCUACGAAAUUGAUAUAUGUCUAUGAAAAUAUAAUAAUGCAAGGAAAAUAAAAUUAGUAGGAAAAAUAAGAAAAAAUAUACUGAAACUUGAUCAAUAAAAAAAAGUGCUUUAGAUUUUAUAAUUUAGAAUUUAAAAUUUGGGGUAGCAUAUGCUUAUAUAGUCUGAAAAAUUAAUUUACCCAUAAAUAAAAUAUAACAUUUGGUAUAGUAAUUGAAAAAGAAUGUCUAAGUCUAAAAAAAAAAGUACUAUCGUCAUUUUUGGAUAUCAAUUAGGCUAAGAAAUUGUAAAAUAAAUAAAAUUAACAGAAAAAAAAUAAAAAAGAAUAUACUGAAACUUGAUAAUAUAGCAUCCUAACUGAUAUUUGUAAUACACUUGCUAGCAGAGGACUCGGAGAGAAGAGAAAAACCUGACGUGAUAAUACGUUUCGGACAAGGACGAGCUAGUCACGAAUGGGCUUUCAGGACGACGAGUGGGCUUAUUGGAGUGUUCGGAGCGUUAGAGAUUCAAGAAGGAAGGCAAUCAAGCUGAAUCAAGUUGUUACUACAUCUGAUAAUUCAAGUAUGUAUAAUUUUUUGCAGGAGAAGGAAAGGUUAUUGUAAAGUCUACAAGUCUUCCUUGACAUACGAUCGGAUGACACUGAAUUUGAGGUACAAUUAGCUUUCACUAAUGUUGAUGUUUGUGAUUAUUAAUUAAUUUUCAUAAUUUAAGAAUAAUGUUAUAUUUUUAAAGGACUGGUUUGCUAGUGACUCUAUUUCAUCAUUAUCAUUUUGCUAUUUGUGAGGCCUAUUAAAUUGUUAUGAGUAUAAUAAUACUGAAAGCAGAUUUAGUUAUCUCGGUGCGUGUUUAUUAUUUAAUUAUAAUUUUAAUCUAAUUAUUUUGUAUUAAUAUUAUUAAUAUUUGUUUGUUUGUUUGGCAGGAAAGACACAUAUAAAAAGUAUGCUAAAAAGUUUUACUAUAUUUUAAGUGUCUUUAAAAUUAUCAACUAGCUUUUUUUUUUAUGUAUACAGGUGUACAAAGUAAACAGAAGCUUUCAAUAAAAAAAUCUACUAUUUUCAUUUUGAUCUCAAUAAUAUUCUUCUACGUUUCUAACUAAUAUUUAUUAUAUCAAAUUAUAAAUACACCGACUGUCCCUAGCGUAAGUGGCAAAAGGUUUGGUGGUUGGUACUCGAGGUACCAAGUUCAGCAUGCUAUCUAUCUCUCCAAAAAAUUAUAAAUAUAUUAUAUUUUUCUAAUAUAAAUUUUUUAACUGUAGUUUGUUAGCAUAAUUUGUCAAAAAAUUUAUGUUAACAAAAUAUAAAACAUGCUAGAAAAUAUGUCUAACAAACUGCAAUUAGAAAUGUAUAAGAAAAAAUAUAAAGCAUAUUUUGUUAAGAAAUUCAUGUUACGAAAAAAUAUAAAGCAUGUUAAUGUUAAUAAAUUUAUGUUAGAGCUAUGCUUUUGAAAAAAAAAUACAUUUAUGUUAUAUUUUGUUAAAAAUAAUGUUAAAAAUUUUAAUAAAAAUAUGCACAGCAAAUAACAAUUAAGAAAUUUAUGUUAUUAAAAAUAUAAAACACUUACAAUUUUGAUAUAAUAAAAUGUUAGAUAGAAACGUAAAAUAACAUCAUUGAAAUCAAAAUAAAAAAUGCCAUAUUUUUUUAUCGAAAGCCUUCCAUUUACUUUGUACACGUGUAUACAUAACAAAAAAAAAAAAUUACUUGAUGAUUUGAAAGAAACUUCAAAUACAAUAAAACUUUGUAUUCAGAUAUAUUUUUAUUUUUGAUACCUUUCAUUAAAGCACCGUAAGUAAACUGUCAGAUGACGCUGGAUUUGAGUUUCAAUUAGUUUUCAUUGAUUUUAGUAUUUGUGAUUGUCAAUUUAUUUCAUAAGUUAAGAAUAAUGUUAUGUUUUCAAAGGACUGGUUUACUAGUGACUCUAUUUCGUCAUUAUCGCUAUACUGUUCGUGAGGCCUAUAAAGUUGUUAUCAGUGCAAUACUACUAAAAGCAGACUUAGUUAUAUCGAUGCGUGUUUAUUAUUUAAUUAUAAUAUUGAUCGGAUUAUUUUGUACUAAUAUUAUUAAUAUUUGCUUUUUUGUUUGGCAAGAAUGUCACCGACUUGUAAUACAUUUUACCUGCAAUAUCGAGAUAUCAAUAGACCUCGCUUUUACCAUUUUGAAUUAAAUUAUGUAGAAAGCUUAAUACAGAUUAAUAUUUGUUUAGUAUUAUAUUGUGUGCGUAAUUUCUUAUAUCUUUAUUUUGUUUUGCAGGAAGUAAGUUAAUACCUAUUGUUAUGCACACAGCACGAGUGUUUGUUAUGUUUUCUCUCUAUUUUAUUAUCAUGCUUUCGGUAUAGUUCAGCACCAUUUUUUAUAACACCCUUAUUGUGUGCUAUGUGUAUAAUGAUAGGUAUUAACUUCCUUCCUGAAAAAUAAAAUAAAGAUAUAAGAAAUUACGCACAUAAUAUAAUACUAAACAAAUAUUAAUCUAUAUUAAGCUUUCUACAUAUCUCGAUGUUGUAGGUAAAAUGCAUUAAAAGUCGGUUACUUCCUGCCAAACAAACAAGCAAAUAUUAAUAAUAUUAAUAUAAAAUAAUCCGAUCAGCAUUAUAAUUAAAUAAUAAACACGCACCGAUGUAACAAAAUCCACUUUUAGUAGUAUUUACAUUCACUACAACUUUAUAGGCCUCAUGAGCAGUAUCAUGAUAAGGACGAAAUAAAGUCACCAGCAAACCAGUGCUUUGAAAACAUAACAUUAUUCUUAAAUUAUGAAAAUAAAUUAAUAAUCACAAAUAUCAACAUCCAUGAAAACUAAUUGCACCUCAAAUCUAGUAUCAUCCGAUGGUUUGCUUAUGGUGCUUCAGUGAAAGUCAUCAAAAACACAAAUAUAUAUGAAUAAAAAGUUUUAUUAUAUUUAAAGUUUUUUUCAAAUCACCAAGUCAUUUUUUUUUAUUCUGUAUACAAGCGUACAAAGCAAACAAAAGAUUUUUAAUAAAAAAUCUAUUAUUUCUGAGUGAUGUUUUUUACUUUCCAUCUGACAUUUUAUGUUGUCAAAAUGUAAAUGCUUUUUAUUUUUUCUAACAUUAAUUUUUUAACUGUUGUUUGCUGCGCAUAUUUUAUCUUAAAUUUUUUAAUAUUAUUUCUUAACAAAAUAUAAAAGCAUAUUUUUUUUCUUUUACGGAGGUAUAGCUCUAACAUGAAUUUCUUAACAUAUUAUAUAUUUUUUUCUUAACAUGAAUNAUAUAUAUAUAUUUUACAUUAUUAACUUAAUUUAGUCCAUAUUUUCUACCAUACUUUAUAUUUUAUCAACAUAAAUUUUUCAAUAAAAUAUGCUAACAAACUACAGUUAAGAAAUUUAUGUUAGAAAAAAUAUAAUGCAUUUACAAUUCUCCCAUUUAGGUGGCUUCAUAGAAAAAUUAAGAAAAAUAUAUCUGAAAAUAAAUGUAAUAUAUAUUAAUUGCUUUAGGAUAGUUACAAGUAUUCAAUUAUCUACUUCUAAAUUUAGUUGAUAACAAAAUUGCUUAUUCCACAUCCCAAAAUGCUUUCAUGAGCAAAAUUAUCAAUCUGCUAUCAAAAAAAUGUAUUAAAAAAAUUAAAACAAAUAAAUGUUAUUAAUGAUAAGAACUAUACUUCCAUACAAUAAUUAUCUAUGAUUAAUUAAUAAAGGAUAUAGUCAAUAUACUAUACUUCCAUACAAUAAUUAAUAAAGGAUAUAGUCAACAUUUUAUUGAGAAAAUAGACUAGUCAAGUUACCAGCUUAAUUAAUUAAAAAGAAUAAUUCUGGAAUGUUAUUUGAGCAUCAUCAUUAUUUUCUUUAAAGUUUGUUUUAUUUUUAUAUAUAAAACAUUUGCUAGAGAAACAAUUAUAGUCUUAUUCCAUUACCGUAAUUAGAUUUGCAAUUGGGAUCUAAAUUUGAACUAAAAAAUUAAAGUUAUGAUUAAAAUUUUAAAAUAAUAGUAAGAAACUUUAAAAACAAUAAAACUUUUAUUUAGAUGUUUAUGUUUUUGAUGCCUUUUGUUGAAGCAGUGUGAGCAAACAAUGGAACGACACUCUAGAUAGAAAAAAGACCUAUGUUUUCUCAUGACCGGAACAAAUCUCUCUUAAUUAAUUUUUUAGAAUGAUUAUUGAUGUAUGAUGAUCUAUUUCUAAAUUUAGUCGAGAGAUAACAGAGUUAGUUCUUCCGCAUCUCAAAAUGCUUGUGUGAGAAAAACUACCAAUCUGCUAUCAAAAAGUUGUAUUAGAAAAAUUGACAAAAAAAAAAGUUUAAUAAUAAAAGCUAUGCUUCUAUACAAUAAUUAUCUCUAACCCUAUCUGUAAAGUAACAAAGACUAUAGCCAACAUUUUCUCAAAAAAAAAAAAAAAAAAAACUAUAGCCAACAUUUUGUUGAGAAAAUCGGCUUGUCAAAUUGCUAACCUAACUAAUUAAAAAGAGUAAUAAUAAUUUUGGCAUGGUAUUUGAGCAUUAUUAUUAUUUUCUUUUGGGCAUUUUAAAGUUUGUUUUAUUUUAAUAUAUAGAGAAUUUGCUAAAAAAACAGAGUAUAGAUGUUAAUCAUAUUAAGUAUACUAAAAUGUAUAAUUGGGCUAAAUUGUUUAAUUAAAUUUAAACUUAAUUUGUUAAUAUUUCAACUAAUUUAUGCUAUUCUUGGGUUGGACUAUUCCAGCUAGUUUUCAGAGGACAUAAACAUCUCGUUAAGGUGUUAUUUGUUAAAAUUAAAAAAAGACCCUCAUAUAGAGUUUGAAUAAGUUAUUUAAAGAUUUUUAUGUAUUUUGAGCGAGUUAUGAGGUCCCGAAAUUGAGACUUUCAUUCUAAUCCGAGAAUAGAGCAAUAUAGUGGAAGUGGUGGAUUUGAAUAAGUUUAAGUCAUUUAAAAAUAAGAUAAAAAUAAAAGAUUAAUAGAGAUACUCAUUGUAUGUUUGUUAGGUACUCUGUACACACAAACCGGAGCUUCCACCGCUGAACCUUCCACAUCUUAGAUCGGUUUUUUCUUAUUUUGAGGUGGAAUCUCUAUCUAUUGAUGAUGAAUUUUAUCGGUCCUCUUUAGUAUCAAACAUGCAUGUAUAUUAUUAUUGAAUGUUCAUAAUUCUUAUUGCUUGUUUUGUUAUUGUUCUAAAAAUUCAUGCCCUUGUGUUGCAAUGAGAUUUGAUCUUAUGCUCUAGUAUGUUUCUUGUUAUCAUAUUAUACUAGUAGAUGGUAUGCAUUUGUAUUGGAAGAUAAUAUAAUUUUAGUUAUUUAUCUAUUCCAAUUACGCUAUAUUAGAACUAUGUAUUAUACAAACUUGCUAUUUGUUAAGUUAAGAGCAUAACCCAUAUUAAAGUUUUAUUUAUGUUUAAAUAAAACGGUAUUAUAGUAACCAAUUUAUAUUAGUCAAUUUUGAAUGUUUAUAAUUUUUGAAUUGUUUGUAAAAAUUUAUAAUAUUAUGAGGAUGUUGAUAUUAACGUCGGAUAUAUUUAAUCUUUCAAUCUUAAAUUAUAUGAUGGGUCUGUAGCUGUUACACCUCUGUGGUGCUUCCGCUAUCGGGGUGCUGUAGAUUAAGUAAUUUAAAUUUAAAUUUUAAAUUUAAAUAAAAUUUAAAUUCGUAACUUGAAAAAAAUUGAAAUUAAAAUUAAAAUUUUAAAAUUGCUAUUCACAAUGCAACCUGAAAAAAAAAAAGAAAUCUAAUUCAAAUUCACAUUGAAGUAAAAAAGUUUGGAGAAAAAUGUGUUUGAGAACUAAACUUUGUAAAAAUAAAUCUACAAGUUUAAAAGUUUAUAGGGAUAAAAUUGAAAUUAUCUCUCACUUGAAAUAAAAUUUUCUUUAUUAGUUAUUUUUUAAUUUCUGAAAAGCCCCUAGCUCGGGGUACCGGGUGAUUGGUAUCAUUUGUAGAAUAGCAAGUCAUGGGGUUGGUUGCACCAAUAAAUCUUUUUCAUUCAUAGUUUGAAAAUUAAUGGUCAAGAUUAGAAUGAGAUAUUCGUACAUUGCUCUAAUAAUAAUACUUUUUCAUUACUAACAAUAUAUUUGUAAAUUACCUUUAGAUGUCAUAUUUUCUCUCUAUUUUAUUAUAGAUAUUAUUGAUGUAGAUAAUAUGUGAAUGCUACAAUCUUUCGCUAUGGCAUCUAUUUUGUGGGAGUCAAACUUUAUACUAGUUAUUAGUUUUAGAGAGAUAGGUAGCAUGCUACCCGCUUUGUUUAUUUCAUUUAGAAAUAAACUUAACUGAAAAUGUGAAUCAACUAAGAUUCGAACUUGGGUCGCGGAUACCAAUCACCAAGCCCUUUGCCUAUUGCUCUAGGGACAGUCGGUGAUACUAGCUAUUAUUGAUAUAGAAAACAUGUGAAUGCUACAAUCUUUCGCAAUGACAUCUAUUUUGUAGGAGUGGAACUUUGAUGCUACGUGAACCCUAUGGAUCGAGUAGAUUUUAUUUUGUCUUGAUAUGUCUGAACCUACGAACAUUGAUAAUAUGUCAAAUCAAUAAAACAUUUUAUAAUAAUUUAACCUUUUCUUUCUUUCUAUUUUUAUUCUCAUAGUGUGUACAAAAUCACUGGCUGCAGAAAGCUAGGGGUGUGUUUGAAUCGAGGUCGGAAUCGGUAUCAAAAUCGGAAUGAGAAUAAGCUAGAAACGGAAUCGAAAUAAUUCAUUACCUUAUUUUGUGUGGUUCGCCACCUGAAUCAGAAUCAAAAUGAACCAUUCCUAUUGUCCGUGUUUGGUUCAGAUAAAUAUUAGAAACGUAAUCAAAUUAAUAUGUCAAUUUUAUCUUUAUAAUAUAAUUGUUUAAAUUCAAACUAAAAAUUAAAUACUAAAAAUGUAAAAAUUUUAAAAUGAUGUCAAAAUUUUAAAUAUAUAUAUUUUUAAAAAAAUAAAAUUUGAAAUUGAAUGGAUAAAUCAAAAUAUAAAACUAAAAUUUGAUUUAUUCAAAUUCAAACUUAAAAUUAUAAUUUAAAUUUCAAUUUGAAUCCAUAAAUUUAAUUUAAAUUUUAAAUAAAAUUUGAAUAAACUUUAGAUUUAAAUUAAAUUUAAAUUUAAAUUCAAAUUUAUAAAUUAGAUUUGAAAUGCUUGAUUGAAUUUUAAUUUUUAAUUUAAGUUCAAAUUAAAAUUAAAAUUUAUAAAUAUAAUUUUUAAACUUAAACUUAUAUUUUAAUUAAAAAGUUAAAUUUAAUCCAAACAAAUCCAUUCCGCCCGGUUACAAUUUCUAAUCCGGCCUCAUAGGCCGGAUUAGAAGAAGAAAUAAUUGGGGGAUUCCCAUUCACCCGAAAAUCGGAAUCGAAAUAAAAAUCUUGCAUCGAAAUACGAAAAACGGAUUCAUCUAUUCUGAUUCCGAUUCUAGAGUAAAAAAUGGGCAAACCAAACACGCCCUAGAUGUACACACAAAUAUCUUAUUCGAGAAGAGUCUAUUUUAAUAUGUGAAUGUUUUAUUAAGCAUAGUUUUUAUUUACUCAAAAAUUUAUAUUAUUUGAUGGUCAGAAAGUAUAAUGAAAUGUGUCCUAUUUGGCUGUUGAGCAAGAGGAGAUCCAUCCUAGUGUAUAUAUAUAUGGCCGGAUGCCCAUCCUAGUAAUUUACAAGGCAAAGAACAAAUUCUAACAACUAAUCUAAUUUUUUUUAAAAAAAUGUAAAUUACAGAGUAAAAAAUGUAGUAACUUACAACAUUAACUAAAAGUCAAACUCAAGCAACACAAAACUGGUAAUCACAGCAGAAAUCAGGAUCCAAAAAGUAUCAAUUCAUACAAAAGAAAGAAUUAUUGAUUGUAAAGAGCACUUCAAAAGUACUGUAGCAAAGGAACAUAAAAAUUCUCAGAACUACAUGUAUUAACUCACAAUAAAUUAUUAAUGUACUAACAGCCAUAAUGUGAAGGAUUUUGAUUUGUCAAUAUAUGUAUUUUACAAGUGUCAUAUGAAUACAUUAACAUAUUAACAACCCAGCCGACCGUCCCUAGAGCAAGUGGCAAAGGGUUUGGUGGUUGGUAUCCGAGACACAAGUUCGAAUUCUAGUUGAUUAACAUUUUCAGCUACGUUUAUUUUUAAAUAAAAUAAACGCAGCGAGUAGCGUGCUACCUAUCUCUAAAAAAAAAAAAAAACAUAUUAACAACCCAUAAAUUUAGCUUUUUGGGGGCCCCAAAGCAAUUCUCUUUGUGUGAAGGAAUUUCCAAUAGAUAGCUGAUUCUUGUUUAUCCACACAAAGCGUUCAACUUUCCACCGUCCAAAGCAUUAUUCUUUAGCUGAUUCUUGUUUAUCCACACAAAGCGUUCAACUUUCCACCGUCCGAAGCAUUAUUCUUUGUCAUAAUUUUUUCUGUAAUAGUAAAUGGAGAGAGAGACUAAAUUGAAACAAUUCAAGUGACCCUCACUCUCUUAGAUUGUGAUAGAUGUUGACAGAGCAACAGAGAGAGCGUAAGUUCUUCUGAAAAAGAAAAAGAGACAGCGCAGUACAAUAAUUGGUGCUAUUCAAUUGAUCAAUAAUAGAUGAGAUGUAUCCACACAUACCAUGAAAUAGUUGCUAUAGUUCUUAAAUAUUGUUAUCUUCAGCAACUUAUAUAUGCAGCUGAGUGAAAGAAGAAGGAGGAGGAAAGAGAUCACUAAUGGCUGCAGGCUUUGUAUCUUCCAUCAUCAAGUGGACAGCCGAAAAAUUUUCUUCUUUGAUUCCUGCACAGACGGCCGGUUGUUCAACAUCCGAACCUUGCACUCGCGCCAGUGAAGACUUCGAGAUGCUGCAGAAGACGAUGCUGUCGAUCCAAGAAGUGCUCGAGAACACGGAAGAGAAGGACAUGCAGAGUUUCUCCGAAAAACUCCGCCUAAAGGAGCUGAGUGGAGCCGCUCGCGACGCCGAAGACGUGCUCGAAGAGUAUGAGUACGAAGUGCUGCGAGCAAAAGUCAUAGCUCGGAGACAAGCAGGCAGUGGCCGAAAGCGCAAGUUCGAGGAGGUAUGUGAAACCAGCACUGAUGAUAUUCCUGCACUAGUUCCCGUUCCGAAUGAUUUAAUAAUUAGAAUGAAGGAAAUCAAGAAGAGGUUUGACACGAUCACGAAGGAAUGGGACACUCUCCGUCUGAGAGAAAGCGACGGGCCGCGGCGGCGUGAUGAUCACGCGUGGACGCCAAAGCCAACUAGCUCCCUUCUACAUGAGCCUAAUGUUCGUGGGAGGGAGAAAGAUAAGGAGCAUAUAAUACAAAUGCUUCUCGAAGACGAUGAGAAUAGAAAAAAUUCGGUUUCCGUCUUACCUAUAGUUGGAAUGGGGGGGAUCGGUAAGACUACGCUCGCACAGCUUGUGUACAACGAUCCUAGAGUGUCUCGUCACUUUCGACAAAAGGGGUGGGUCUGCGUAUCUGAAAAUUUUGAUGUGCUAGAGUUAACAAGAAAGAUUUACACCUCAAUCACUAAAGGAAGUUGCGACUAUACUGAAAUAAAUGAGAUUGUGGAUGCUCUUAGGGAAGAACUGAUGGGUAAGAGGUUCUUACUAGUGCUCGAUGAUGUUUGGAUUGACAACCCGAAUCUCUGGAAUCCCCUGAGAGACCUGCUCUUUGCUCUAGAACCUGGGAAAGUUAUAGUAACUACCCGGAAUGAGUCGACAGCUACGAUCAUGCAGACAAUGCCACUUUAUAGGUUAGGCUGCCUGGGCUUUGAUGAUUGUUGGUUGAUCUUUCUGCAACAAGCCUUUGAAGGUCGAGAUCCAAAUGCACUUCCGGAAUUGGUAGAAAUCGGUAAAAAGAUUGUCGUGAAGUGUAAGGGAUUGCCUUUGGCUGUCAAGGUGCUUGGCGGCCUCCUUCGCUUCGAAAGUGAUGAGUGGAAAUGGAUUGAUAUUUUGGACAGCGAGUUAUGGGAAUUGGAUGAAGAGGAGGAUCAGAUCCUGCCAGCACUAAGGUUGAGCUAUGAUCACAUGCCGCCAGCGUUGAAGCAAUGCUUUAUGUACUUCUCCUUGUUUCCGAAAGACUAUAAUUUCUAUGACGAUAGGAUGGUCAGGCUGUUGAUGUCGCAAGGGCUUUUCAGAUCUGACGGAACAGAGCUAGAAGAGGACAUCGGCAGAGCAUUUCUUGACGACUUGUUACAAAGGUCGAUUCUCGAGUAUCAUUGUACCUAUGGCCGUACAAGAUUACUGAAAAUGCACGAUCUCGUCCACGAUCUUGCACAAUUCGUUGUAGGGGAGGAAUUUAUUAGAGUAGACGAUGGCAAGCUAUGCAAUCUCCCUGGAGGAGUUAGACAUUUAUCAUUGAUUUGGAACAACUCCAUCUCUAGUUUGAAUCUUUUGCCUUUAAAAAAAUUACAAGCUCUGCGGACAUUCAUAAUAAUAAAAAGGGAUGAUAUUAUCACUUACCCAGAAGUUCAUGUCGACGUACUGAAUGAUCUCUUCCGAAACUUGAAAAGACUACGAACUUUAAAUUUGAGAUGGACAAGAAUUGGAGCAUUGCCCGAGUCAAUCGGGAACUUGAAACUUCUACGCUACCUUGACAUUAGACAUACUGAGGUUAAAAGGCUUCCAGAAUCAAUAUUUGGUCUCUACAAUCUACAGACAUUAGAGAUUGAAUAUGAUGCCUUGGCGGAGUCAUCAGAAGCCAUAAAGGAGUUGGUCAACUUGCGACAUCUUCUAUUUGCUUGUGAUAAAUAUGCAAACUGCCUCCCAUCUGGUAUUAGACAUCUAACAAACUUGCAGACAUUGCCGGCUAUUGUUAUAGGAAGAGAUCCUAGGCACUUUAGGAUACAAGAUCUAAAGAACUUGUCCCACUUGAAAGAAGUGCAGAUUUUGAAUCUCAAAGAUAUUGACAGUGUUGAGGAUGCUCAAGAGGCUAAUUUGAGGAGCAAGAGAGACCUCAAAGCCUUGCAGUUAUCGUGGGAACACUGUUACGCCCUCUACUGUAAUACAAGCCGUGGGCAAAGUUCUGAAGAGCCGUCGAAGAUCCCUUCAGAAGCCACUAGGUCAUUGUUACCUGUUGAUUGGUUUGAGGAACGGGUACUUGCUAGCCUUGAGCCACAGACCAACCUCGCAGAAUUGUUGAUAUAUUGUUAUGGAGGUAUUCGAUUUCCCCAGUGGGUCGGUGAUGUUUCCUUCUCCAAGUUGGUCAAAAUAACACUACUGAAUUGCCAGAAAUGUAUAUUGCUCCCGUCGCUCGGUCAACUGCCUUCUCUGACGUACUUAGAUAUGUCUUAUAUUGAAAGCCUGCUGCAUAUCGGAAGGGAGUUUUAUGGGUGUAGUUCUGAAGCAAAGGGUUUCCCAUCACUGGAGAUAUUGGCAAUCUCCUCAAUGGACAAUUGGGUGGAGUGGGGUGGCGGCGAAUAUGGCGACUUUCCUCGUCUCCAAGAAAUUAGUAUUGCAGGAUGCCCUAAGCUACAGAGGCUUCCGCAACAUCUUUAUUCCUCAUUGACCCGAUUAUUUUUGUCCAAUUGCGAACAACUUGAUGAACUUCCUUUGCUCCCUUCACUGACUCAUUUAACUCUGCGAGGUACGUAUGAUGAAAAGAUACUCUCUUCUUUGCAUCUCCAUUUGCUUCGUUUUUUAGAAAUUACGGGCCUCGAGACUCUUCCUAUUGAAUUUCGGAAAAUGUACUCCCUCCAAAAAUUGCGUAUUUCUUUCUGUUACGGAUUGGAAACAGUGGUGAGUUUGUUCGAACUCCCUUCUCUUGAGGAAUUGUCAAUAAGGAAUUCUCCUCAAGUACAGUUCCGACUUCAUUCGUCUGAAGAUGUCAUAACUGGAAAUUGCCCUGUGCUUCAAGAGUGGUGCAGAAGACGUGACAUCGACCUGACAUAUUCAGGUGUGAUCCUCUACAAGAAUUCUAUACAGUUCUUGAACCCAUUUGCUAGUUCAUAUGUUUCCCUCCUCAUAUUCCUUUUUGUCUUUUGGAAACAGGUUAACUUGGCAAGAAAGAAUCUUCCAAUGGUAAAGCAAAUGCAUAAUCGCACUUUGCUGAAUAUUGAGAGAUUAAACAAUGCCUUGCAAUAUGUAUUGUCGGUAAGAGGAUUAAUCUGAGUUUUAUGGCUGAUUUCAGACACUUCACACUUUUGGUUUUGAUCAAAUCAGAAUGUGUAGAAGAGGAUGAACCGGAAGGUGCUGAUUUUGCAAUUAGAGUGAUUGUUGUUUUGAGUGAUCGUCCUUUCUUUUUAUGUUUUUUCCUGUAUUUUCUAACUUUGUAAUCUUUUCUUCAUGGCUGCUGAACUGAACGUGAAUUGAGUUUGGUAUAAGAUAAAAUUAUAAAUUUACCAGUGAGUCUUGUUAUUGUCCUAUGCAAUGUCGCUAAGGUAUUCGCAGAGUAAGUUUACGACACUCAGUGAUUCUGAAACUAUAUCUUGUGCUCUGUACAACAAUGAUUAAUAAUCAGGUUUAGAGAAGUAGCAGUAUCCAUCUUAAGAUCACUUUUGCAUUUCCUCCUCACCAACUUUAGCCAUUUGCUAUUUCUAUUAAUGUGCGUUUUCCAAGUUUAGAAAUUUCAGAGGCAAAAGGGCAUAUAAAAUUUACUUUUGUGAUAAUAGGCUCUGUUAGAAAAUCAGUUGGCCUGUUUGGAUGAACUUGAGACGGUAAAUCGUCUCUUUCUGAGAUGUCAUUUUUCACGUGAUCUGUUGGCCUGUCUACUGUCGAAUAAAAAGGCCUUAAGCGUCUUUACUUCGGCCAGUGAGCUUUGGAUGGAUAGUAGCGAUAAGGGGGGCAUAGUUGGGAAAAAAGAGCUAACUAUCAUCACCUCUACUUGGUGGGCUUUACGGUUGGAGCGAAAUAGAAGGAUUUUCGGCUAUAAAAAACUUACGUUACGACAGCUGUUGGUGGACUUAUACGCACUGAUGAAUUCGUGGGAUCUUUAUUGUGUUUAGUUUAGUUUUUUUUUCCUCUUGCGAAGCCUUGAUGCUUCACUUUGUUGCUAAAUUUAUCUUCUUACUGAAUGAAGCGGUCGCAUGUUACCUUUCUCUCAAAAAGAAAAGAAAAGAAAAGAAAAUCAGUCUUCAGCAUUACCAGUGAUCAUGCUAAGUCUUCACCUAGAGUCCACCAUUUUACUCUUCUAAAUGACACCUGAAUUAGUUGUAAAACCAGUUAUUUGCGCAGCUCAAAUCACAUCAAUAAGCCCGCAAUGCAUAUUUGGCCACAUUUAUGCAACUUAUUUUUGGUUUUUUUUUGGGUAGUCAUCUCUAGAAAAACAUCAGACAUAUUACGAAGUCGGAAUUGUUGCUAUGCUGGAAAACUGAAAUGAGAUUAUAAGUUUUCAUAGCCCUGAACUCUGAUUUAUACUUUGUAAGCAUACUAUAAAUUAUAAAGAUUAGUUCUCGAAAACUUUUAGUACUCUGUUUCGCUUAAUUUUGUGAAAACUCUAAUUUUGUCUGUCUAGUUUUACUUCUUUGGUAAGUCGCAUUACCUCGCUGAAAUGGCGGGCCGCUCCUAUUCAGUGAUACAUUGAUUUGGCGAGCCAAUUCGGCUCUCUGAAAGGUCGAUCAUAGCGCAACUCAAUGUCCACUAGCAUUGCAGCAGGCCCUUACGUUUUUUCGUCUGUCGCAAUCCAAGAAGCAGGAGGCUCGAGCCCAAAUUUAAAUCUGGUCUGUCAGGAGGAUUAAAUUUCUGAACUCUCUUAAACUGUUUACAGACGAAAGUGCAGACAUGAAAAUCCCAGCGUGGAAGUAUCACGGUUUCUAUGUAUGGCAAGCGACAACGAAAACGAAAGCUCGGGCGCUGCCGCACACAGUGACUCUCCCAUCUGCUGCUGCUCCUCCACCUCCAACUCUUUCUUUAGUAGAGCCCCGGUAAAAAAACAAAAAUAACAAUAAAAAAUACACCAAAAUCGAAAAAGCAAAAGCAAAAGAAAACAAAAAGAAACCAACAUUAAAGAAAAAGCGGAAACAAAAAAGGACAAAAAAAUAAUAAUAAUAAAAUAAAAGUAAAGGAAAAAAAAAAAAGAAAAGAAAAAGAAAUUGGGUUGGGCUUCCGUUUUUAUCGCUUCUUUGGUUACUGGGAGAGGAGUGAGUGGGAGUGUGAUGGGGGAGGAGAUGAGGACGGAGGAGGGGGUGAGGAUAUCGGAGUACGCGCACAGCCCGGCGCACUACGCGGUGGCGGUGGGCGACGCGGCGCGGCUGCGGCGCGUGCUGGCGGCGCUGCCGCGGCUGUCGCACCNNNNNNNNNNNNNNNNNNNNNNGCGUGACCGCCGCCCUCGACCGGCGUGACGUCCCCGGCCGCGACACCCCGCUCCACCUCGCCGCCCGCCUCCCGCGCGCCCCCGCCCUCGCCGCGGCCCUCGCGGCCGCCGGCGCCGACCCCUCCCUGCAGAACGCCGCCGGGUGGACGCCGCUCCAGGAGGCGCUCUGCCGCCGGCGCCGGAAUGUGGCGGCGCUGCUCGUCCGCCACCACCGCGUCUCCGCGUGGGCGAAGCUCCGGCGCCGCCUCCCCGCGCUCGUCGCCGCGCUGCGGAACGUCCCCGACUUCGCCCUCCACCUCUCCUUCCACUUCGAGAGCCCCCUCCUCCCCUUCCUCCCCCGCGCCGCCCCCUCCGACACCUACCGCCUCUGGAAGCGCGGCGCCGACCUCCGCGCCGACACCUCCCUCGCCGGAUUCGACGGCCUCCGCGCCCGCCGCGCCGACCACUCCUUCCUCUUCCUCGGCUCCGGCGCGAACCCCGACCUCCCCGCCGGGUCCCUCCUCGUGCUCCACCGCGGGAGGAAGGAGGUGCGCGACGCAUUCGACGGCCUCGGCCUCGACCUCGACCUCGACCGCGGCGGCGGAGACGACGACCCCUUCGACGACGACGACGACGCGAGCGCGUGCCGCCCCGGGCUCGACAUCACCGGCGCCGAGCUCGUCCCGCGCACCAACUGGCGCCGGAGGGAGAAGACGGAGACGGUCGGGGAGUGGAAGGCCAAGGUCUACGACGUCCACAACGUCGUCUUCAGCUUCAAGACCAUGCGCGCCGCCGCCGACGACGCCGACGCAGCCCCGGCCCCCGCCCCGCGCGGCGACGUCGUCCCCAUCCCACUCGAGAUCCGCGACGACGACGAGGACGACGGGUUCCUCGUCGCCGAGAUCCCCGCCCGGCACAGCUGCUACGAGCCCUCGCGGGCGCGCAGAGACGAGGAGGGGUUCACAUUUCCCGCGGAGGAGCCGAGGCGGAGGAGCGUGCACGUGCCGCAGGCGCCGCGCGUGCCGAAAAGGGGGGAGGGGGCCGGGGGCGGGGGCGGGGGCGGGAGGUGCAAGGAGAAGGAGAUGGUGAAGAGCCUUCGGCCGACAGUGUGGCUCACGGAGGAUUUCCCGCUGAAGGUGGAGGAGAUCAUGCCUCUCUUGGACAUUUUGUCGAGCAAGGUGAAGGCGGUGCGGCGCCUCCGGGAGUUCCUCACCACCAAGUUCCCGCCCGGAACCUUUCCUGUUAAGGUUAAAAAGGAAUCAAGCUUACAAAAUUUUCUACAUCUUCAACUUUAGAUAUUUGCUAUAAUUGGUAAUUGGUUUUGUUGCUAGUUAGCUUUGUUUUAGUACUAGUUAAUUUACUGGUGCCAAAUGUGAAUUGAGAGAUGGGAUGUAUUGGUGUGGGGUUGGGAUAAUAUAGAGGUAAAAAUGGAAACUUACAAAACUUUCUAUCUCUUGAUCUAUGGAAAAUUGCUAAAAAUAGUAUCAUUUUGUUGCUAGUUAGUAUUUACUCUAGUAUCUCUUAAUUUACUGGUGGCAAAAGCAAUGUAGGAGAUGGGAUGGGUAGGUGUGAAAUUUGGACAACAUAUAUAAAUAGUACAUAGAGGCUUUGGAUCUACAUAUGAGGGGCAGUGGAAAUGCAGUGUGGACCUUUUUUGGCUGUAUAUCUUGGAAGGUAUUUUGAAAGAGGGAUUAGUACAUAGUGAAUUUGACUGUAGCUUGUCUCGAUCUUUCGUAGAAAUAGGUACCGCUUUGGGAGGUGAAUUUGCAAAGGAUGGUAAAGUGAGAGUAUUUCCUUUGAUGUGCGUGUUUUUCGGAUAGAAAUUUAACUGCAGUAUCGAAGUAACUCUAGAGAGAGAGAGAGAGAGAGCGAAAGAUAGAGAGACCUGUUUAAUUUCAGCCACCAGCUAGAGAAUUGAAAUAGCUUUCUUAUCUUUCAUGACAAAAUUAAUCUGUAAUGAUUGACCAAUUUAACUCGAGCCCAUCAUGGAAGAUCCAUUUCUACUAUUAUCGGUCUAUUCACCUUGCCUUUUAGAGGCGUUUUACCAAGUUAUUAACAUUUUGUAGCACCAAAAUUGAAUCAAUACCAACUUGUGAAUUUCCCACAUUUAGUAAAGCUAUACCAUAGAUAAGCUUUAGCUCAAUGAAUUAUAUGUUAACAUUUGUUAAUUGGUGGCUACUAAUUUCAAGUAAAACCUCUUUUUCAGGUUGUAGCUUAUAUAUGUUGGUCCAUCUAUUUGCUUUAACAUUCUUCACAUGAAUAAUUCUCUUGUAGCUUUUAGGUAACCUCUCUUGUAUACAGUGGUGGCGAUAUGCCUCACUGACUUGCAAACUUGAUUCGAAUAAGAACCAAAACAUCAGGUUACAAUUGUAAAAAAUUAUACCCAGUGCUCUCUGACACAUUUCUGGGUUUGAGUUUCCCCCAGUUUUCAAUUUAAUGGAAUUAUAGAAACUCAAAUAUGCUUGGCAUGUCUAGUGUAGGCUUUUUGUUGUGCGCUUUUCUUGUUGUCAUGCGUUCUUGCCAACUUUUCUCUGGAAAUGCCACUGUUGUUGGGCUUAGUUGUGCUCAUUCCACCUGCUCACUUUACUGGACUUUGACAUGUCCUUCAAUCUUUAUCUGAGUGGAUUGCUUUUUUGGUUCUCGGACUUUUUCAUUUACCUUGUUUCUGAUUCUGGUUCAGUAAGUAGGGAAUCGUAUAAUUCACAGGUUGAAACUUGUUUUGUGCUACAAAAUGUUUUCUUGUAAGGACAUUUUUGCGAGUAUAAGGGUAUUACGUAUAUAUAAGAAGCUAGGAACUCAAGAUGUAAAUUGAAGUUCCAAAUUUACAGGGGUGUGUACAUAAAUAGAUAAUUCUGUAGGGAUACAUGUGAAUCUCUUGAUUUUUUUUUUUUUUUCCUUUGUUGACAACCUUUUAUCUCUCAUUUUUGUAUAUUGCAGAUUGCCAUCCCUGUCGUUCCCACAGUAAGAGUUGUGAUCACUUUCACGAAAUACGUUCCUCUCCAGCAACCUGAGCAGUUCUUCACUCCACUCUCGAGCCCGAGGCUGUUAUCUGCCCUCGAAGAAAAAGAGAAUGUCGCAAACAACAAGGAGGAAGAAACGCGGAAGGCAGAUUCGAACAAGAGCUCUUGGCUGAGGUGGAAUAGCUCUACACCCAAACCCUCUCUGACUAAAUCAAAAUCUUCAAGGCCGUCUCAACCGUCCGAUCAUUCUGACCCCUUUUUGAUUCCGAGUGAUUUUACUUGGAUUAGCGCCAGCUCCAAGAAUAGAGAGUUGAAAAAAUCAAAGUCGAGGAAGGGUAAACAGAGAGACAGGGUCAGUGACUUUGCUGGUUGAUAGCAUAGGUGUGAGGUUUCAUACUGCGAGAAAUGUAAUUAGCUUACUGUUUGUAGAUGCUUCUGCUGCUAGAUUCUAACUAGGGCUCUUGAGGCUUUUCUUGAUGGGUUAGAGAAGUUGGUGCUAUAGUUAUAAAGCUCGUAAUUCUAACUUGCAUGUGAGAAAAAGCCUGUGAAUUCCUGUUAAAUCUGCAGAAAUGUCCCUGGAUUCCCCGCUAAUGCUGCCCCUCUAGCGACAAUCUCCAGUGCUUGGAUAGGCCAAAGGAGCAUUUGGAUUCACACAGAGUAAAACUCGCCUGUAUUUCAAGUUCAUUGAGAGUAGAAACAUUACUGCAGCACUGAGGAGUAUAUCAUAUGUUGUGUCGAGGGUACAAAAGAAUUCCUCUCAGUGGUAAUCAAAACGCUGAAUGGCGAAUGUUUCUAUGCUUUUGUUGAACUUGUUGCUGCAUUGUACUUAUCAAUCCAAGCACUCUCAAAGCGUUCUUCGAUUACUCUGAUUUGUUAUGUUGUUGAUUUUUGUUGGAAUUUUCUCUUGGCGGAUUAGCAAAGUGAUAUUUUCUGUUACUAGUUACUAUACACUGCAGCAAAUCAGCAGGUUCUUGGUGGCCUAUAGAAUAAUUCUGGAGUCUCUAUUUUUUUCCAUUGAAAUGUCUAGCCUAGUUUUUCCUGCAACUAUUUAUUUGCUACACUCUUUUUAUCCUCUUUUUCAAAUUAAGAUUAGGAAUGGUAAUGGCGACUGGGUUUUGGGCUAGACCCUCCAAACCAGGCUCGGUCCGCUAUUUCAUUUGUUGCACUGCAGUUGUAACUAUGUACAUAUUCAAAUUCGAUAUUUGGUUUGAUGCAUUUGAGUCUAUCUUUUGCGGUUGGAGUUGCAUUAGGAAGUCCAAUUGUAACAGUUUUAACUACGUCUAAAUUGGCCAUAGUUCCAACUACAACAGUUAAAGAGAAUAAUUUUAAAUAUAAGGUAAGUUUACCUCUCUAGACAUCUUUGAAACAGAAAAAAAAAAAUAUAUAUAUAUAUAUAUAUAUAUAUAUAUAUAGAGAGAGAGAGAGAGAGAGAGAGAGAGAGAGAGAGAGAGAGAGAGAGUGAGAGCUAGGCAGGUAUACUAUCGGUAGCAUGGAGCCCUCCGUGCUACCAAAUUAUUUUUAAUGAUGCAGCUUCCAAGUAGACAAUCGGCUUAGUUAGAGUUAAUUUACACUAUUAAAAGUAUUUGAAACCUAAAUUUUAUAAUUUUUCGGCAUCAUUUUGCUAGUGAUCAAAAUGUCUCAAAAUUAACAAUUUUAAUGAUAGAUGUAAUACGUUUGUGAAUUUAACGGUGUAAAACAAUCCAAAUUUGAUGAAAUUUUUAUAGAAUUUUUUUUUACUAUUUAGAAUAAAAUCAGUACCUCUGAUCUUAAAUUUAAGUCUUUUAUCAUCAUUUUUUAUGAGAUUUUUAUUUUCAACCGUUUAUUUUUACAUUACUCGUUUGAUAAGUAAAUGAUGCUGAAAAACUAUGAAAUUUAGUUUUCAAAUACUUUCAAUAGUGUAGAUCAACUCUAACGGAGCCGAUUGUCGAUUUGGAAGCCACAUCAUUGAAAACAACUUUGUAGUACAGAAGAUUCCGUACUUCCGAUAGUAUACCAGCCUAGCUCUCUCUCUCUCUAUAUAUAUAUAUUUUAUAUUGAAGGUAAUAUCAUCACCACAUAUAUAAAGUAAUAAGGUUUUAAAAAUAUAUAUACUUUUCAACUACAUGAAACAAAGCAAAUUAUUUAUAUUUACAGCAUUUUUUACGACAUCUAAGUAAAUAAAAUACAUGCAAUUAUAAUUGUUGUAUUUUCAACUGCAUAUAUUUUCAGCUAUACGGUAUUUCUUAUGACAUCCAACCACAGAGUCUAGAGAUGCACAACCUGGUUUGCCGUUUGAGCCCCAGACCAUAGCAAAGGAAUGAAGGAUAUGUGGAACCAAGUCUCAUGGGUAAGCUCUCAUUAGAAGCAUCUUCUAUUUUAUAUAACCAUUCGAAGUUUGAACAAUAGAAAUUUUUUCUUUGUGCUUUUGUUACAGGGCAUGUCUUUAGCUUUUAUCAUUUGGUUGGGGUUGGCCAAUGUACUAUAUGCUUAUUGGACCAUUUUUGCUGCUGCAAAAAGCUCGAUCAAAGCACCAAAAUAAUGAUGCUGCGAGGGAAAUGCAUAGCUGAAGUACUACACCACCUUGUUAGGGGCUCCAAGUGGUAUUGUUAGGUAUAUCUUGGCAAGUUUUGAUGUCGGAACAAAGUUGUGUCGUGAUAAUUUGUGUUAGAUCGAUGGGGGUGGGUGAUUAUAAUAUAUACUUUAACUUAACCUAUUGAGACAAUCAAAUGAGUAAGAUUUUUGGAGCUACAAAUCUUUUUUGCUCACUUCUAAAUGUGCUUUUGGACUUGUUAGGAUGCUGGAAUAAUUUAUCGGAUAUAUUUUCUUUUCCGGCAUAUCUUCUCGCCUCCACUUAAAUAUCAUUUAUUUAUUAGUUGGCUAUAGAGGAGCAUGAAAAAAAAAGGCUUAGAGAAAAGUAUACGAACUCAAUUUCUUAUUUCAGGAGAGAGAUUUAGAACUAAACAAAAAGGGGUAUUGGGGAUGAAAAAACAACACUCCAGUCACUAGCCCACCUUUUGGCAUCCCCCUCCUUGCGGUUAAGGUAACAACUUCGGGCAUGGCCAGCUCCCAUAGUGUGACGGGUGGUGUGUACAAGGCCCGGGAACGAAUUUACCACCAUAUUGCUGACCGACUAUUUAGCUAAAAUUGAGAUCUCAUUCAAAGAUAAAGAUAGCAAAUAUCUAGAGUUUCUUUAUAGGUCGAACGAAUCAUUCUAAAAACACUAAUCCGACACAAGCUACUUCCACGUAACAAGUAGUGAAGGCUAUAUAGGUUAUUGUGUAUAAGGUCAGGGGUUCGAUCAAUGCUCGUGCUUUCGCCAAAUAAUUAAGGCUUGUGCCCCUGGAUUUCUGAAUUAGAAAAAUAGUAUGUGUCUUAGGGUUUAGUUCGAGAUAAGUAGCUGAAAACAUACAAAUAGCCCCGACCUAAUUUGGCAGAAAAAUUAAAUGGUGUUUUCUUAUAUUCAUGGAUGUUUUCUUUCAUAAAAGUUCAACUUUUGUAGAUUGCAAGAUGGAACAAUAAGUAGUUUUGGGAUAAUAUACUUUAGUGUACUUUCACACCAUUAAAUGUUGGAAUUAUCUAUUGCUUCUCACCCACUUUUAGGUAGAUUAAUAAAUUAUCUUGAAUAGUACUGUUUUUUUUUUUUUUACUGCAGUUGCUUACAAGAUUCUUAGAAUCAUAAUAUAUUUAACAGAAUACAUUUCACCUAUAUAUGAGAUGAUUUACCAUCAUUUUUUUUUAAUUCAAUGAGAUUAUUUCUUCUUACUCACUUUUUAAGUUUCUUUUUCUUCCACUCAAUCGUAUAAGAAGACAUGCCCAGUAAGUUAUUCUAAUAUCUAAAAAUGCAAUAAAAAGUGAGCAAGAAUGCAAGAUUGUGUCUAAUUGUAUUCCUGAUUGUGAAUGGCAUGCAACAAUGGUAACAUAUGUUAGUAUGGUUAAGAAAAAUUAACUAAAAGUUGAGCGAUUAGAAAACUAUCUCAAAGAUUAGCCAGCUGCACCGAGUUUUGAAGAAAAACAGCUACAUGUUGUAGAAUUACUUGAAAAAACCUUUUAAGUAAUAUAGAUCAAUAAGUAACAACAUGGUACGUACGUACCUAGAAACAAGAGAAGCACUGUCCUAAAAUGUAUUUCCGUCCUUGUCAUCUCUUAUAGGAGUAGCCAAUUAGGAGAGUGCUCAAAGGUAUGAGUAGGAGCUUUCUCCAACAACCAUGCAUGAUCAUGGAAGAAGAGAUGAAGACUUUUUCAACAUCCAUUAAUGAUAAGAAAGUUAGAGACAAAGUCAUGUUGGGAUAACUUUGGGGAUGAUAAUUUAUUUGGUAUCAAAUUUUUUUGUGUAAUUGGAAAGGAGCAGUUUGAUUUUUGCUCCUUGAAAGUCUUGGCAUCUAUGAUUUGGUAAGAUAGUAUAUUUCAUCUAUGAAAUAAUUUAUUUAAUUCCGAAAAAUAACUCUCGAAGCCUAAAUAUGUUAUUCAAUACUAAACAUUUGACCACACUUUCAGCUUUUCAAUUACGAUAGAAAAUUCUCAUACCGAAUAGAAUAUUAUUAGAUAUCUUAUUCCGACAUCCAAAUAAAGACUUAACAACAUUCACGAAAAUUAAAACUUCUUAAAUUACAGGCAUUAUAACAUUUCAAAAGCAAAUAUACACUCACAGAAGAUCACCCUAUGUCCUUCAGUCAAAAGAGGAAAAAUAAAAAACAGUUCAAAAGCACUUGGCCCUUUGGAUUCAUUAACAACAACAUUUGUAACAAUUAGCUACAAAUAAAAGAUCUAAAGUAAGAUUUUACAAGAAAAGGAGAUGGCCUAAGGUUAGAAUCAGCUUGACUAACAUAUCCUAGUAUCUUCCCUUAUCUGUCUAUAAUAAUGGGGGAAUAAAUUAAAGCACAUGUAGAGAGUGGAAUUGCACAAAAGACUCAAAACUUUUGAAGAGAAUGCCUAGAGGAAAAGGAAAAUUUAGGUAUGUUGUAUAUAUAUAUCUCACCAUACACUCAUUAUAAACAGCUCAUAAUAGUUAAGAAUUCUUUUUUUUUCUUUUUUGAUAAAUAGUUGUAGGUUCAAAAGCCCUAUAACUUUCAUUAAAAAGGAGUGGAAGUAUAAACAGCACAGCUAGCAACUCACAGAGAAACCAUUUGAAUUCAUCCAUAGUGCUUCUAAACUGCACUGGAUUUUGUUGUACUACAUUAGGCCACCAUUUUCUCUUUACCUCCUUAGUGAUAAAGCAUUUCAGGUGCUUAGUGUACUACAUAUAAUAAUUACAAUAACAACAAUAUAUAUACUAUCAAAAUUUAGCAAAUAUUGGAUGGCAAUAUUAAUAUAAGGUUCUCCUAAUCAAGUGUAGUGGUUUUGAUCCAAAUCAUGAUCUUAUUCUCCUCCUGAAAAAUUCAUAGGUGUUUCCUUUUUGUUCUUUUUUUUUGUUUGUUUUUUUUGGAGAAACAUGCUUAAGGUUUUCAAAUUGAGAAGUAAAGAGCUUUACCAUAUAUAUGACUCUAUUAUUGGUAUAGUUAAAGGCAUCAUUCAAACUCAUUAUAUAUAAUUAUGUGUGACUACUCCCACCAAAUUAUUGGGGACAGCUGAGUGUAGGGAUAUUAUAUAUCCCUCUGAACAACACACAUGCAUGAAUUGAGAAGGCAUACAAUAUAUCGAUCUCUAUCGUAUUAUCGAACUGUAACAUUUACAGUUAAAAUUUGUAGUUCAAAUAUGUUACCUUUGUUUUGUUUUGUUGUUCUUCUCGAUGAGUACUAUGAAAUACAACCAUGUGCACAAAGCUUCAACCAAAAUAGAGAGUAAAAUAAUUAGAGGUGUAACUAUUGGGAGAAGGUUAGAUUAAUUCAAAGAGCCACUAAUUGAUAUAGCAUAAUUGUAUAAGGAAUAAAGAAAAAUAUGGGGAUAAAUACCUGGUUUUCUCAUAGAUAGUGAGCUUUUUUGGAGCUGAGGGAGAUAUUGACGCGGCUCAAUCCAAUUACAAGGCUACAUAAACUGAUCACUUUAGCCAUGUCUUCGAAUUGAGGCACGCCAAUAUCUCCGCAUCUAAUCUAUCGAUACCUUCAUCAUUCAGUUUCACGACGAUGAUCGCCGACACCCGCAAUCGACAUACGGCAAAAAUUCAACAUCAUGUAAUUGAUCAAAGCCUUGUUGCAAAGACCUUUAAGAUAAAAUCAACACUAGCUAUUGAGAGAGAGAGAGAGAGAGAGAGAGAGAGAGAGAGAGAGAGGGGGUUAUGGGCUUGAGAGGAGGGGCUAUAUAUUCAUGACAUGUGUUACUGUUGGAGAAAGAGUUGAUGUGGAUUUCUCUAUGGCAAAGAGGCAUCUUCUACUGUGAUAGCUUUCUCCCUACAAAGGCAUGCUAUUCUCCUGAUACCUCUUUUUACAUGGCUCUAAAUUGCUGCUUAAAGAGGAGCAGAAAAGGAGAGAGAGGGGGUGGGGGGAGGGGGGAAGGGAAGAGAAGGUGAGGGGGGCCACACUCUAUUUUGUGUAUGAUAGAGUCAAUAACUCUUAAAAAAGAGACCUUGUUUUGUAAUAAGUUGGAAUAAUUUAUAUAUAUAUAUAUAUAACUUAAUAAUAUAAAACUUAAUAUUAUUAUUGUUAUUUGGAAACUUGAAUAUAGUUUGUACACCUACCUUGCUUGUUCCUUUGAAAGUCUCUUUGAUGCAGCACACUAUAAAUGCUAUAUUCACACUUCACAAAUUAAUCACCAAGAAAUUAAAGAAGAUGCUAAUUAUUUUUAGCUGUGUGGGCAAUAAUGGCUCCAGAACUUUUAAGUACACUUACUCUAUCACAUGUCAGCAAUGAAACUAACCACUUAAAUUGAUUAUAUGCGAUAGGUGAAUAAAAAGAAUCUAGGUAUAAAUGAUAGCUAGCUUUUGAUUUUUUUUUUUUCAAUUUUUUUGGGAAAACUUUAGAUACGACCACUAUGGUUUCACACUUUCUGACUUUAGUACCUUGUGAUUUAAAGUGUAUGAAUUUUGUGCUCCGUGAUUCUAUUUUUAUUUUUUUAUUAUCGAUUUUACUAAUUUUUUUCGUUAAAUCAGUGACAAAAUUAAAACUAAAGGAUACUAAAGUGAAUAUUCGAUAAACCUAGAUGGGGUAUUUAAAAUUUUUUUUCCAUAUAAUUUAACGAAAUAUUGAAUAAGAAGCUGACAAAAAGAUUAAAAAUAAAACCACAUAAUAUUAAGUUGUUACACUUUAAACCAUAAGGUACUAAAGUGAGAAUGUGCGAAAUCAUAGGGGUUGUAUUUGAAGUUUACCUUUAAUUUUUUUUCCUAUUUAAGUGGUUUCUGUCAAUCAAACCAAAUAUUUUAUGAAACAAAAUGAUGGGCUUUUUCAGUUAAUGCAGCUGUUGAUUUUAACUAAUCUUUAACUUGACUUAAAAGUAAUUAAUUUAAAUUAAAUUGAUUAAAAGUAUUUGAAAGGCCCACCCACACUUUCCUAAAUAAAAUUUUUGAAUGAUAGUAGGGCCCUUCUUAACCUAACAUUCUGAAGGCAAUUGGAAGUCAAAAUGAAGAUUUUGAAACAUUCAACAUUGGAAGGACAAAAUAAUGCCACAAAGUGCUCUUAAAUGAUCAAAUAUACUCUUAAAUUUCCAAUAAAAAUCAGUAAAAGGCUGAGGUUUCCCAUUGACAAUUAAAUCUUCAAAAAAAAAAAGACAUUCCAAGGUCAAAUAUAACCAGCUCAUUAAGUUUUGGCUAAAAAGUCAGCAACCAAUAAUCUAAUAUUGGAGUCAUGAGGAAAACCUUGUUUUAAUAAAAUAAUAAUCUCUUCUUCUUUCCCCUAUCCAUAUCUUUGAUGAGUACAUAAAAAGUCGAACAUAUGUUAUUGUUCAUAGCAAGAAUCAAAAAUGCUUUUUGUUAGCAAAUUACCACAUUUUGUAUAAUCUUUAAUUAAUGUUAUUUACAAAAGGAGUAGGAUAGGAAAAAUGCUACACAUGUGCCAUAUAAGGUAAGCAAAUGAGAAUCCCCUAGGAACUAAUUUAUAAGGCUAAAUUAAUCAUUAGGAUUUCUAGUGGUAAGAUAUGGGGAUCAAGCAAAAGCUUUGUAUCUUUAGUUCAACUUCCAUUGGAGGGACUCAGGGUUCUAAUCAUUAAGUAUAUUAACUAAUAAAAGAAAAGGGCUUGGUGGUUGGUAUCCGAGGCCCAAGUUCGAAUCCUAGUUGAUUUACAUUUCCAGCUAAAUUUAUUUCUAAAUAAAAUAAACGAAGCAGGUAGCAUGCUAUCUAUCUCUCAAAAAAAAGAAAUAAAAAAAAGAAAAGUAAUAUCAGUAGGGUCAUCUUCCGUGGGGCAAGUUAACUAGAUUCAAUGAAUCAGAUGAAAUUCAAUUAUUAGUUAAUAAUGGUCAAAUUCAAUAAAUGUAUCUAUCAAUAUCAAAAUUAAUUAUCUACAUCAAUAGGAUGGUUGUAUGUAUUAUCAUAACCACUUUCUCUAUGUACAGAUCUAGAUGAGAUUUAGCAAAUUUGAUAAAUUUUAAACAACAAGCAGAUUCAAUAAAUCUAUCUGUCCAAAAUAAAAUUUUUUUUUCCAUAUGCAUAUGAAUGAAAUCAACCCUAAGUAGAAGGUACUGUGCCCAUAUCAAUAAUUCAUAGAUUGUUUUUUGACCGCCACUGACGAUAGCUAGCCAAGUUUAUUAUAUAUAUAGAGCAGUACUAUCUAUGCACCUAUAAGCAUAGCGUAAAUCUUACAUUCUGAACAUCCAAAGGAAUCUAAAAGAGGUAUUUUAAAUAUUUAGAUGAGCGAGUGCAAGAUAUACAUCUCACUUAUAGGCUGUGUAAAUAGGAUUUUUCUUAUGCGCGAGUCAUGUACAGUAAAUAUAGAUAUAUUUUUUUUAGAGAUAACUAGCACGCUACCCGCUUCGUUUAUUUCAUUUAGAAAUAAACUUAGCUAUAAAUGUGAAUCAACUAGAAUUCGAACUUGAAAUCUCGGAUAUCAAUAAUUAAGUUAUUUGACACUUGUUUUAGGGACGGUAGAUGUAAAUAUGGAUAUGUUAAUAUAGCGGAGAAGAUGGAAGUGAAAAGAUGGAAGCAUGAAAGCAUUU
rnacentral:lncRNA from 1 species